rnacentral:rRNA from 1 species
CCUACGGGUGGCUGCAGUCGAGAAUCAUUCACAAUGGGGGAAACCCUGAUGGUGCGACGCCGCGUGGGGGAAUGAAGGUCUUCGGAUUGUAAACCCCUGUCAUGUGGGCGCAAAUUAAAACGAUCGUACCACACGAGGAAGAGACGGCUAACUCUGUGCCAGCAGCCGCGGUAAUACAGGGGUCUCAAGCGUUGUUCGUAAUGACUGGGCGUAAAGCGUGCGUAGGCUGUUUCGUAAGUCGUGUGUGAAAGGCGCGGGCUCAACCCGCGGACGGCACAUGAUACUGCGAGACUAGAGGAAGGGAGGGGGAACCGGAAUUCUUGGUGUAGCAGUGAAAUGCGUAGAGAUCGAGAGGAACACUCGUGGCGAAGGCGGGUUCCUGGACAUUAACUGACGCUGAGGCACGAAGGCCAGGGGAGCGAAAGGGAUUAGAUACCCUGGUAGUC